UACGGAGGAUGCAAGCGUUAUCCGGAAUGAUUGGGCGUAAAGCGUCCGCAGGUGGCUAUGUAAGUCUGCUGUUAAAGAGUGAGGCUCAACCUCAUAAGAGCAGUGGAAACUACAUAGCUAGAGUGCGUUCGGGGCAGAGGGAAUUCCUGGUGUAGCGGUGAAAUGCGUAGAUAUCAGGAGGAACACCGGUGGCGAAGGCGGCAUCCUGGACCGGCAUUGACGCUGAGGCGCGAAAGCUAGGGGAGCAAACGGG
rnacentral:rRNA from 1 species